AGUGGGGAAUAUUGCACAAUGGGCGCAAGCCUGAUGCAGCCAUGCCGCGUGUGUGAAGAAGGCCUUCGGGUUGUAAAGCACUUUCAGCAGUGAGGAAGGCGGGUACGUUAAUAGCGUAUUCGUUUGACGUUAGCUGCAGAAGAAGCACCGGCUAACUCCGUGCCAGCAGCCGCGGUAAUACGGAGGGUGCGAGCGUUAAUCGGAAUUACUGGGCGUAAAGCGCAUGCAGGUGGUUAGUUAAGUCAGAUGUGAAAGCCCGGGGCUCAACCUCGGAACUGCAUUUGAAACUGGCUGACUAGAGUACUGUAGAGGGGGGUAGAAUUUCAGGUGUAGCGGUGAAAUGCGUAGAGAUCUGAAGGAAUACCGGUGGCGAAGGCGGCCCCCUGGACAGAUACUGACACUCAGAUGCGAAAGCGUGGGGAGCAAA
rnacentral:rRNA from 1 species